rnacentral:rRNA from 1 species
GACAGAGGGGGCAAGCGUUGCUCGGAAUCACUGGGCGUAAAGCGCACGUAGGCGGCUUUUUAAGUCAGGGGUGAAAUCCUGGAGCUCAACUCCAGAACUGCCUUUGAUACUGAGGAUCUCGAGUCCGGGAGAGGUGAGUGGAACUCCGAGUGUAGAGGUGAAAUUCGUAGAUAUUCGGAAGAACACCAGUGGCGAAGGCGGCUCACUGGCCCGGUACUGACGCUGAGGUGCGAAAGCGUGGGGAGCAAACAGG